rnacentral:misc_RNA from 1 species
UUGUAGAAAAUUAUAAUUUUUUAAAUUUUACUCUUAAGGGUAGUUUAAGAAAAUGAGGACAAAUAAAUUUGAAUUUUGAAAUUAUACCAAACAUGAAUUAUUUGAAAUUCAAUUAAAUUCUGCAUUUUAAGUUGUGUUAUACCAAAUAUUCUAGCUAGAAUUCAAUUCAAAUGAAUUUCAAAAUUUGUGGUAGAAUUGAACCAAUCACUUUGUUAGUUUGAUCGAAGAAAAUUGGAGGACAGGCAGUCAAUUGGAUACAUUAUACAGCGAUGUUCCUUGGCUCUUUAUGUGGAUUAGUACAUGUAUAUAAAUUUAAGAGAGGCACGUGGAAACACCAUUACUUAAACUGAAAUUAUUUAUUUUGUAGUCUGCAACUUGGUGGGAAGAA